rnacentral:rRNA from 1 species
AUUGAACGCUGGCGGCAGGCUUAACACAUGCAAGUCGAGCGGGGGAAGGUAGCUUGCUACCGGACCUAGCGGCGGACGGGUGAGUAAUACUUAGGAAUCUGCCUAUUAGUGGGGGACAACAUCUCGAAAGGGAUGCUAAUACCGCAUACGUCCUACGGGAGAAAGCAGGGAUCUUCGGACCUUGCGCUAAUAGAUGAGCCUAAGUCGGAUUAGCUAGUUGGUGGGGUAAAGGCCUACCAAGGCGACGAUCUGUAGCGGGUCUGAGAGGAUGAUCCGCCACACUGGGACUGAGACACGGCCCAGACUCCUACGGGAGGCAGCAGUGGGGAAUAUUGGACAAUGGGGGGAACCCUGAUCCAGCCAUGCCGCGUGUGUGAAGAAGGCCUUAUGGUUGUAAAGCACUUUAAGCGAGGAGGAGGCUACUCUAGUUAAUACCUAGGGAUAGUGGACGUUGCUCGCAGAAUAAGCACCGGCUAACUCUGUGCCAGCCGCCGCCGUAA